CACGUAGGUGGCGAGCGUUGUCCGGAUUUACUGGGCGUAAAGGGAGCGUAGGCGGAUUUUUAAGUGAGAUGUGAAAUACUCGGGCUCAACUUGAGUGCUGCAUUUCAAACUGGAAGUCUAGAGUGCAGGAGAGGAGAAUGGAAUUCCUAGUGUAGCGGUGAAAUGCGUAGAGAUUAGGAAGAACACCAGUGGCGAAGGCGGUUCUCUGGACUGUAACUGACGCUGAGGCUCGAAAGCGUGGGGAGCAAACAGG
rnacentral:rRNA from 1 species